rnacentral:misc_RNA from 1 species
CCACUUGCCAUUCGUGCGCGGAAGGAGCUUUACUUGGCCGCCAUUAGUCCUUUAUCCUGGUACGUGUGGCAUCUAUAGUCCGGUUGUAGCGUGAGGGGUGAUUUAAGCGUGAAGUAUAUCACAUAAACAGGUAUAAAGUACUAGAACUUAACAUAGCAAUGGAAAACGCUGCAAAUGAAAUGAACAUUAAGAAUGAAGAGGAACACGACCGGAAAGGUCAAAACCAUGCCGGGCAAAACAAUCAUCCCGGUGGCGGUCGUGGUGAAGGCCGGGGCAAUUUCGAUGGCCGAGGUGGUGGAUUUGGUGGUGGCAGAGGCAGAUUUGCGAAUCGUCCCAGAGACGACAACAGAGGCAGAAAUCCUGAUGAUCGACUGAAUGAACGGCUAGCUGCUCUGAUGGCUCCAACACAUGAUCUUCCACCAAUGGAUACAACAGAAAAAAAAUUCUCCGGCCGCUGCCGAUUAUAUAUAGGCAAUUUAACAGCUGAUGUUACUGACGAUGAAAUCAGGGAAAUGUUUAGCCCCUAUGGAGAAGUGGCUGAACAGUUUGUUAACAAGGAAAAGAACUUUGCUUUCAUACGCAUGGACUACCGUGCAAAUGCUGAAAAGGCAAAGAGAGAGCUUGAUGGGUCUCUACGUAAAGGCCGUUCAAUUAAAGUUAGGUUUGCACCACCUGGAGCUGCUAUAAAAGUUAAAAAUCUAACACCUUGGGUGUCAAAUGAACUUUUAGAGAAGGCAUUUUCAGUGUUUGGAGAUAUUGAAAGAGCUGUUGUCAUUGUGGAUGACAGAGGAAAGUCAAUGGAAGAAGGUAUAGUUGAAUUCGCCCGUAAGCCUGCAGCUCAGAUGGCUAUGCGCAGAUGUGCAGAAGGCUGCUUUUUCCUUACAGCGUCUUUGCGUCCUGUUGUUAUCGAACCAUAUGAACCAUUAGAUGACACGGAUGGCUAUCAGGAGAAAAAUCUGCCUAAGAAGAACCCAGAGUACUACAAGAUGAGAGAAGUGGGACCACGUUUUGCAACACCAGGAAGCUUUGAGUAUGAGUAUGGUACACGUUGGAAGCAACUGUAUGACUUGCACAAACAAAAGGAAGAUUCCUUGCGCCGUGAAAUGAAGAUGGAAGAAGAAAAACUUGAAGCUCAAAUGGAAUAUGCUCGCUAUGAACACGAGACAGAGAUGCUGCGUGAACAACUGCGGCAGCGUGAAUUAGACCGUGAACGACAGAAACAGGAGUGGGAAAUGAAGGAACGGCAGGUGGAAGAGCAGCGCCUGCAGAUGGAAGAGCGUAUGCGUCGCCAACAGGAAGAAAUGCAGCAUCGAAUGCAUCACCAAGAAGAAGAACUUCGCAGAAGACAACAAGAGAACAAUCUCUUCAUGCAGGCGCAUCAGUUAAACAGUCUCCUGGAACAGCAAGAACAGGCAUUGAGAGCCAAUCCUACAGACUAUGAUGCAGCAGCUGCCGAUCCAGUCAUUCGUGAUUAUGAUGCAGUUGGUGCUGAGGCAGGAACCAUCCCGCCGGUGAGCUAUGAAGAUCAUUGGCAGAGAUACUAUGCUGACUGUGAACACUACUAUUGAUCAGUGCAAUGAUACACAGUGAGAUAAAGGCAUUGACUGAUUUGUGGUUGAAAAUGACUGAGAAGAGCAAAGUGGUAGUGCGGCGAAUUUGGCUAGUACUGCCAAAUACCUGUUGAGAUGAUACUAGUGGCAGCAUAGGUGAUUCCACUUGUGAUACUUCUGUAACGUAAUUAAGAAGAUGCCAGAAAAUCUCAAGCUGCAUGGAAGCAUUUUGAUUUAAAGUCCUGCAGCUGAAGAAAGGCAAAACUGUUCCAGCUACGAUGAAUUAAGUUGGGGUAUCAGCAGGGAAGAUGAUUUCUGUAGCCUUGCUGUCCAGCUUGUUUUUAUACAUUAAAGAAAUGUCAUAAUAACCUU